CACAAAUUCCUUGUCCUCUCUACAUUAGUUCUGCCACAGCAUCAGAAUAUACUUUAAGAAUUUUGUGAGAUAUAAACUCUUUGAAAGCUGCUCCUAUUAGCCUCUGCUGUCCUUAAUAUAGCAUGUCUUCCUUUAGUGAUAUGCAGUGAGAGGACCUAUGGAAGUAGAAUCACACUGUCUUACCUGCCCCUCUCUCGCAACUUAGACAGGGACAGUUUUCUAUAGCUCUUGUUGCAAACAAAAC